CUUGCUCCUGAUUUACGGCGGANGGGUGAGUACACGUGGGUACCUGCCUGUAAGACUGGGAUAACUCCGGGAAACCGGGGCUAAUACCGGAUGCUUGUUUGAACCGCAUGGUUCAAACAUAAAAGGUGGCUUCGGCUACCACUUACAGAUGGACCCGCGGCGCAUUAGCUAGUUGGUGAGGUAAUGGCUCACCAAGGCAACGAUGCGUAGCCGACCUGAGAGGGUGAUCGGCCACACUGGGACUGAGACACGGCCCAGACUCCUACGGGAGGCAGCAGUAGGGAAUCUUCCGCAAUGGACGAAAGUCUGACGGAGCAACGCCGCGUGAGUGAUGAAGGUUUUCGGAUCGUAAAGCUCUGUUGUUAGGGAAGAACAAGUACCGUUCGAAUAGGGCGGUACCUUGACGGUACCUAACCAGAAAGCCACGA
rnacentral:rRNA from 1 species